rnacentral:sRNA from 1 species
GGAUGGGAGAUUUGACCACUGCCUCAACCACAUCACUGAACUCUGGCUUUCUUCAGCUGAAGCGGCUGUCAACCUCCAAUGUCUCCUUCCUCCUUCAUUGCUUUGAAGGCCGCUCCUCCAGCAACGAGAAACCAUCGAAGAGAGUAUCUUCGAUGAGAAGCUAUUCCUGUUGCUGCAAACACUUGCUAGAAAUUCCAAGAAAAUUUACAAGGUACAUUUGUAGGACAGCAGUAAGUCAGAUGCAUUUCAAGUUCCCAAUUAUUAUACAAGAAACAGCUUAAUUUUUAGAUUUUGGUUUUUGU